rnacentral:tRNA from 1 species
GGGCGAGUUCCCGAGUGGCCAAAGGGGGCAGACUGUAAAUCUGUUGCGUUUCGCUUCGAUGGUUCGAAUCCAUCUUCGCCCACCA